UACGAAGGGUGCAAGCGUUACUCGGAAUUACUGGGCGUAAAGCGUGCGUAGGCGGUUUGUUAAGUCUGUUGUGAAAUCCCCGGGCUCAACCCGGGAAAUGCUUCUGAUACUGGCGGACUUGAGGCCAGUAGGGGUCACUAGAACUGACGGUGGAGCGGUGAAAUGCGUAGAUAUCGUCAGGAAUGCCGGUGGUGAAGACGGGUGACUGGGCUGGUUCUGACACUGAGGCACGAAAGCGUGGGGAGCGAACGGG
rnacentral:rRNA from 1 species